rnacentral:lncRNA from 1 species
CUGCCUAGACCAGUGUUUUUCAAAUGUUAUCAGAUUGCAAUUUUUCUGGAAAUAAUGGUGCUUUAGACAAAACACAACAUAUUGUUAUUUUUUACUCAAAUUAAAUAAAGGUAUAAUUUUACCCUAAUUCCAAUAGCACCUCAUAUUAGCAUUUAGUAUUUUUUCAUCAUUUAUUCAUUCAACCAAAAUUUGUUAAGAUCUUAUUAUGUACCAGGCCCUGUGCAAAAUACUGGUGACAUGAUGACAACAAGACAGACACCGUGCUUGCUCUGAGUCUCACGGAGCUCCAUCCAUUGUAGACAUAUGGCAGGUCAUGAAAAAACUGGAAGUACAGAGGAAAGAGGAUUAAAGGCUGUACAUAUGAAAAUAAGGAGCGAGUCAGACAAACUUCAGCAAAGAGGGAGAAAUUGCACGCAAAUGAGAAGACAGCUGAGUCAGCAAGAUGGAUGCCAGGAAGGGGAAAAGAGAGAAAGUGAAUUCUGCUAUGGUCUGUCCUGAGACCCGCCCUUACAGCUGGAAUUUUAGGUCCUGAGAUCCACCAUGGGGAGAACAUGUCCCAGGCAGUAAGGACAGAGACUUCAAGUCGGUCGGAAGCCUAGAGUCCAACCUGGCCCAACCAAGUCCUGCCUACAUCAACCAAACCACAUGCAUAUUGUGAGAAUAAAAAUAAAUGUUUAUUUGUAAGCCA